AGAUGGCUCCCCCUACCAUGAGGAUUUAAAAAAAAAAAAAAACAAGACGAAAAUGCCAGUCCCAGAAGCCAGGGUUCCUGGACCCCCAGAGCUGAGAUGGGCUCGGGGAGCCCCACAGGGGCGGGGAGGCCGGACGAGCCUGAAGAAGUGGAGGAGAGAGCUACACAACUUAAGUGGGGCAUCCCCAGCCCAGCUGCCUGCUCAUCCUCCUUUGCGCCCAGGUCCAUUUCUACAACACCCCCCCCCCCCCAAAGAAGUCACUCGGAGGUUCUGUCUGCAGAGAGCCAGGGUGAGAACGGGCAAAUCGAGAGAGCGACCUCGGUCGUGGGCAAGUAGCUUGUUUUUACGUCCUUCAAUAAAAAUUUUAUGAGGAUCA